GACGAACGCUGGCGGCGUGCUUAACACAUGCAAGUCGAACGGAAAGGCCCUGCUUUUGUGGGGUGCUCGAGUGGCGAACGGGUGAGUAACACGUGAGUAACCUGCCCUUGACUUUGGGAUAACUUCAGGAAACUGGGGCUAAUACCGGAUAGGAGCUCCUGCUGCAUGGUGGGGGUUGGAAAGUUUCGGCGGUUGGGGAUGGACUCGCGGCUUAUCAGCUUGUUGGUGGGGUAGUGGCUUACCAAGGCUUUGACGGGUAGCCGGCCUGAGAGGGUGACCGGCCACAUUGGGACUGAGAUACGGCCCAGACUCCUACGGGAGGCAGCAGUGGGGAAUAUUGCACAAUGGGCGGAAGCCUGAUGCAGCAACGCCGCGUGCGGGAUGACGGCCCUCGGGUUGUAAACCGCUUUCGCCAGUGACGAAGCGUGAGUGACGGUAAUGGGUAAAGAAGCACCGGCUAACUACGUG
rnacentral:rRNA from 1 species